UCAAGUAUGAGAAGGGCGUUUAGUGAAUGCCUUGGCACAUAGAGGCGACGAAGGAAGUGACACGCUGCUUUAAGCCCGGAGGAACCGCGAGUAGGUUUUGAUCCCGGGAUUUCCGAAUGGGGAAACCCACCUUUACAGACUUUGAUAUUUUUAUCUCUUCGGAGCUAUUAGUAUCAGGGUUUGUGUUAGGUAUUUUUAACUGAAUACAUAGGUUAAAAAAGCAAACCCGGGGAACUGAAACAUCUCAGUACCCGGAGGAAAGGACAUCAACCGAGACUCCGUUAGUAGUGGCGAGCGAACGCGGACCAGGCCAGUGGCCUAGUGUAAUUAACCAAAAUAGUCUGGAAAGGCUAACCAUAGAGGGUGACAGUCCCGUAUGGGUAUGGUUGCAUUAGGUCCAUGAGUAGGGCGGGACACGUGAAAUCCUGUCUGAAUAUGGGGGGACCAUCCUCCAAGCCUAAGUACUCCUAUGUGACCGAUAGUGAACCAGUACCGUGAGGGAAAGGUGAAAAGCACCCCGACGAGGGGAGUGAAACAGAUCCUGAAACUGGACGUCUACAAGCUGUCGAAGCCUCCUUGCGGGGCGACGGCGUACCUUUUGUAUAAUGGGUCAGCGACUUAGUCUUACUAGCAAGCUUAAGCCGAUAGGUGUAGGCGCAGAGAAAUCGAGUGUGAAUAGCGCGUUAAGUUAGUGGGAUUAGACCCGAAACCGAGUGAUCUAGCUAUGAGCAGGUUGAAGGUGCAGUAACAUGCACUGGAGGACCGAACCCACCUAUGUUGAAAAAUGGGGGGAUGACUUGUUGCUAGGGGUGAAAGGCCAAUCAAACUCGGAGAUAGCUGGUUCUCCGCGAAAUCUAUUUAGGUAGAGCGUUUAAUGAAUACCAUCGGGGGUAGAGCACUGGAUGGGCUAGGGGGACUCACCGUCUUACCAAACCUAACCAAACUCCGAAUACCGAUGAGUAAUAUUAAGCAGACACACUGCGGGUGCUAAGGUCCGUAGUGGAAAGGGAAACAGCCCUGACCGCCGUCUAAGGUCCCUAAGUAAUGGCUAAGUGGUAAAGGAUGUGAGAAUGCAUAGACAACCAGGAAGUUGGCUUAGAAGCAGCCAUCUUUUAAAGAUAGCGUAACAGCUCACUGGUCAAGCGUUUUUGCGCCGAAAAUGUACCGGGGCUUAAGCCAUUCACCGAAGACGCGGGCGCACUUUGUGCGCGGUAGCGGAGCGUUCUGUAAGCCGUUGAAGCCAUCCUGUGAGGGUUGGUGGAGGUAUCAGAAGUGAGAAUGCUGACAUGAGUAACGAUAAAAGGGGUGAGAGACCCCUUCGCCGAAAGAUCAAGGGUUCCUGCGCAAUGCUAAUCAGCGCAGGGUUAGCCGGCCCCUAAGGCAAGGCCGAAAGGCGUAGUCGAUGGGAACCACGUUAAUAUUCGUGGGCCAGUGGGUAGUGACGGAUCGAGUGUAUAGUUUCCUCUUAUUGGAUUGAGGAGGCUGUGAAUCGGUUCCAGGAAAUAGCUCCCACAUUAGACCGUACCCCAAACCGACACAGGUGAUCAGGUAGAGUAUACCAAGGCGCUUGAGAGAACUAUGCUGAAGGAACUCGGCAAAUUGCCUCCGUAAGUUCGCGAGAAGGAGGCCCUCUAUGAACGCAAGUUUUUAGAGGGGGCACAGACCAGGGGGUGGCGACUGUUUAUUAAAAACAUAGGGCUCUGCGAAGUCGUAAGACGACGUAUAGGGUCUGACGCCUGCCCGGUGCUUGAAGGUUAAAAGGAGGAGUGCAAGCUCCGAAUUGAAGCCCAAGUAAACGGCGGCCGUAACUAUAACGGUCCUAAGGUAGCGAAAUUCCUUGUCGGGUAAGUUCCGACCUGCACGAAUGGCGUAACGACUUCCCCACUGUCUCCAGCAUAGACUCAGUGAAAUUGAAUUCCUCGUGAAGAUGCGAGGUACCCGCGGCCAGACGGAAAGACCCCGUGCACCUUUACUACAACUUCACAGUGGCAUUAGUAAUGACAUGUGUAGGAUAGGCGGGAGACUUUGAAGCGUAGGCGCCAGCUUGCGUGGAGUCAUCCUUGAAAUACCGCCCUUAUCCUUAUUGAUGUCUAACCGCGGACCAUGAAUCUGGUUCCGGGACAUUGUGUGGUGGGUAGUUUGACUGGGGCGGUCGCCUCCUAAAGAGUAACGGAGGCGCGCGAUGGUAGGCUCAGACCGGUCGGAAAUCGGUCGUUGAGUGCAAUGGCAAAAGCCUGCCUGACUGCGAGAGUGACAAUUCGAGCAGAGACGAAAGUCGGUCAUAGUGAUCCGGUGGUCCCGCAUGGAAGGGCCAUCGCUCAACGGAUAAAAGGUACGCCGGGGAUAACAGGCUGAUGACGCCCAAGAGUCCAUAUCGACGGCGUUGUUUGGCACCUCGAUGUCGGCUCAUCGCAUCCUGGGGCUGGAGAAGGUCCCAAGGGUUUGGCUGUUCGCCAAUUAAAGCGGUACGUGAGCUGGGUUUAGAACGUCGUGAGACAGUUCGGUCCCUAUCUACCGUGGGAGUAGGAGUUUUGAGAGGAUCUGCCCUUAGUACGAGAGGACCGGGGUGGACAUUCCUCUGGUGGAGCUGUUGUCACGCCAGUGGCAUUGCAGCGUAGCUAUGAAUGGAAAGGAUAACCGCUGAAAGCAUCUAAGCGGGAAACCAACCUCAAUACUAGAGCUCCCUUGAGAGUCGUCCAAGACCAGGACGUUGAUAGGCUGGGUGUGGAAGCAUGGCAACAUGUGGAGCUUACCAGUACUAAUAACUCGAUUGACUUUAUACU
rnacentral:rRNA from 1 species